rnacentral:rRNA from 1 species
GUAGGAUCCGAGCGUUAUCCGAAUUUACUGGGCGUAAAGCGCGUGCAGGCGGCGCGAUAAGUUGGAUGUGAAAGUUCCCGGCUCAACUGGGAGAGGACGUUCAAUACUGUCGGGCUAGAGGGCGGCAGAGGGAGGUGGAAUUCCCGGUGUAGUGGUGAAAUGCGUAGAUAUCGGGAGGAACACCAGUGGCGAAGGCGGCUCACUGGCUCGAUACUGACGCUGAGGUGCGAAAGUGUGGGGAGCAAACAGGAUUAGAUACCCUGGUAGUCCACACCGUAAACGAUGGAAGCUAGCUGUCAGAAUGUAUACAUUUUGGUGGCGCAGCUAACGCGUUAAGUGAUCCGCCUGGGACUACGACCGCAAGGUUA